AGCCUAUGAUGGUUUCAGUAUAAGAGUAGUGGACAGAAGUGAUUUCUGAAAAAACUCUGUGCUGAGGCU